UACGGAGGGUGCAAGCGUUAUCCGGAUUUACUGGGUUUAAAGGGUGCGUAGGUGGGCAGGUAAGUCAGUGGUGAAAUCUUCAAGCUUAACUUGGAAACUGCCAUUGACACUAUUUGUCUUGAAUUAUCUGGAGGUAAGCGGAAUAUGUCAUGUAGCGGUGAAAUGCUUAGAUAUGACAUAGAACACCCAUUGCGAAGGCAGCUUACUACGGAUAUAUUGACACUGAGGCACGAAAGCGUGGGGAUCAAACAGG
rnacentral:rRNA from 1 species